rnacentral:rRNA from 1 species
CCCAGACUCCUACGGGAGGCAGCAGUGGGGGAUAUUGGACAAUGGGGGGAACCCUGAUCCAGCGACGCCGCGUGAGUGAAGAAGUAUCUCGGUAUGUAAAGCUCUGUCAGCAGGGAAGAAAGAAAUGACGGUACCUGAGUAAGAAGCCCCAGCUAACUACGUGCCAGCAGCCGCGGUAAUACGUAGGGGGCAAGCGUUAUCCGGAAUUACUGGGUGUAAAGGGAGCGUAGACGGUGAAGUAAGUCUGGAGUGAAAGGCGGGGGCCCAACCCCCGGACUGCUCUGGAAACGAUUUGACUGGAGUGCAGGAGAGGUAAGCGGAAUUCCUAGUGUGGCGGUGAA